rnacentral:rRNA from 1 species
UACGGAGGGUGCGAGCGUGUCCGGAUUUAUUGGGUUUAAAGGGUGCGUAGGUGGCUUUUUAAGUCAGUGGUGAAAUACAGCCGCUUAACGGUUGAGGUGCCAUUGAUACUGAGAAGCUUGAAAUAAUUGGAGGCUGCCGGAAUGGAUGGUGUAGCGGUGAAAUGCAUAGAUAUCAUCCAGAACACCGAUUGCGAAGGCAGGUGGCUACGAUUUAUUUGACACUGAGGCACGAAAGCAUGGGGAGCAAACAGG